rnacentral:rRNA from 1 species
AACGAACGCUGGCGGCAUGCCUAACACAUGCAAGUCGAACGAGACCUUCGGGUCUAGUGGCGCACGGGUGCUUAACGCGUGGGAACCUGCCCUUCGGUUCGGAAUAACUCCCCGAAAGGGGUGCUAAUAACGGAUAAUUUCUUCGGACCAAAGAUUUAUCGCCCUUGGAUGGGCCCGCGUUGGAUUAGCUAGUUGGUAGGGUAAAAGCCUACCAAGGCGACGAUCCAUAGCUGGUCUGAGAGGAUGAUCAGCCACACUGGGACUGAGACACGGCCCAGACUCCUACGGGAGGCAGCAGUGGGGAAUAUUGGAAAAUGGGCGAAAGCCUGAUCCAGCAAUGCCGCGUGAGUGAUGAAGGCCUUAGGGUUGUAAAGCUCUUUUACCCGGGAUGAUAAUGACAGUACCGGGAGAAUAAGCUCCGGCUAACUCCGUG